ensembl:snRNA U6 U6 spliceosomal RNA
UGCGUGUUUCAUGCUCACUACUAAAAUUAGAAUGACCAAGAAAAGAUUAGCAUGGUCCCUGCACAGAGAUAACAUACAAAUCCACAAAAGACUGUAUUUUUCU